rnacentral:rRNA from 1 species
AUUGAACGCUGGCGGAAUGCUUUACACAUGCAAGUCGAACGGUAGAGGGGGCAACCCCUCGAGAGUGGCGAACGGGUGAGUAAUAUAUCGGAACGUGCCCAGUCGUGGGGGAUAACGUAGCGAAAGUUACGCUAAUACCGCAUACGAUCUAAGGAUGAAAGCGGGGGACCGUAAGGCCUCGCGCGAUCGGAGCGGCCGAUGUCAGAUUAGGUAGUUGGUGGGGUAAAGGCCCACCAAGCCGACGAUCUGUAGCUGGUCUGAGAGGACGACCAGCCACACUGGGACUGAGACACGGCCCAGACUCCUACGGGAGGCAGCAGUGGGGAAUUUUGGACAAUGGGCGAAAGCCUGAUCCAGCAAUGCCGCGUGCAGGAAGAAGGCCUUCGGGUUGUAAACUGCUUUUGUACGGAGCGAAAAGGUCCUUUCUAAUACAAGGGGCUCAUGACGGUACCGUAAGAAUAAGCACCGGCUAACUACGUGCCAGCCGCCGCGGUAA